GUAUAAGCACUCUUUUACUGUGAAACUGCGAAUGGCUCAUUAAAUCAGUUAUCGUUUAUUUGAUAGUACCCUACUACAUGGAUACCUGUGGUAAUUCUAGAGCUAAUACAUGCGCAAAACCCCGACUUCGGAAGGGGUGUAUUUAUUAGAUAAAAAACCAAUGCCCUUCGGGGCUCCUUGGUGAUUCAUAAUAACUUCACGAAUCGCAUGGCCUUGCGCCGGCGAUGGUUCAUUCAAAUUUCUGCCCUAUCAACUUUCGAUGGUAGGAUAGUGGCCUACCAUGGUGGCAACGGGUAACGGGGAAUUAGGGUUCGAUUCCGGAGAGGGAGCCUGAGAAACGGCUACCACAUCCAAGGAAGGCAGCAGGCGCGCAAAUUACCCAAUCCCGAUACGGGGAGGUAGUGACAAUAAAUACUGAUACAGGGCUCUUUUGGGUCUUGUAAUUGGAAUGAGAACAAUCUAAAUCCCUUAACGAGGAACAAUUGGAGGGCAAGUCUGGUGCCAGCAGCCGCGGUAAUUCCAGCUCCAAUAGCGUAUAUUAAAGUUGUUGCAGUUAAAAAGCUCGUAGUUGAACCUUGGGCCCGUCCUGCCGGUCCGCCUCACCGCGAGUACUGGUCCGGAUGGGCCUUUCUUUCUGGGGAAUCCCAUGGCCUUCACUGGCUGUGGCGGGGAACCAGGACUUUUACUGUGAAAAAAUUAGAGUGUUCAAAGCAGGCCUUUGCUCGGAUACAUUAGCAUGGAAUAAUAGAAUAGGACGUGCGGUUCUAUUUUGUUGGUUUCUAGGACCGCCGUAAUGAUUAAUAGGGAUAGUCGGGGGCGUCAGUAUUCAGCUGUCAGAGGUGAAAUUCUUGGAUUUGCUGAAGACUAACUACUGCGAAAGCAUUCGCCAAGGAUGUUUUCAUUAAUCAGGGAACGAAAGUUAGGGGAUCGAAGACGAUCAGAUACCGUCGUAGUCUUAACCAUAAACUAUGCCGACUAGGGAUCGGGCGGGGUUUCUAUGAUGACCCGCUCGGCACCUUACGAGAAAUCAAAGUUUUUGGGUCUGGGGGAGU
rnacentral:rRNA from 1 species